UCCCUCUUGAGAUAAAAAAAAGAAAUCGGUGUGCAAAAAGUGGUGGUCUGGUCAGUGUUAGCCCGAUAGGUACGGCGGGUGUGGCGUGCACCGGCCUGUUAUCCUUCCACCGUCAAGAGCGGGAGGUUAUCGCUGCUCUGUGAAACCAGCCUGACGCGGUGUCCUCCGCUUUAGGAUCCCAGAUAGCUCGGGCCUUCGUUCGAGCCACAUAGCUCAGCUGCCUGACUUGGAACGGGCAAGCCAAGUCUAGCACGACCGCACCCAACCUAUUCGGGCUGAACACAACAUUCCACCACCUUAUUGCCCCCACUAGGGUUACAAGCCGGCGUUACCGGGCUCGGCGAUCGAGGCGCUUCCACAACUUCAUAUAGCCUGUCAGUGAAUCCUAAAAAUUGGCGAUGUGGGACUAAAAACGCUCCCUCCUUUUUCCUUUCCGAACAUUCGUGCACCGCAUGCUUUCCAGGAGAAACCCGAAUUGCAUCUAAAGUUUCGAUCAUGGUUCCCCACCACCUAAAACCAUUCCAUCCCCUUCGAACAGACCAACAGAAGAUGCCCUGCAGACCCCUCCAGAUUACCCGACUCCUAAUCUUGAAACCUCGAAACCCAAUGCUCUCCUGCAUCGGGGAUUCAACAUGUUUCGAGCUAAAUUUCUCCUACAUCAGCUGACCGCAAUGCUGUAACUUUGGUGAUGAUGAAGAGGUGUAAGCUGAUAAAUGCUAUAACAAUGCCCGAAUACGUUGUCGGCCUCGUUGCAGAAGAGGAUCGACUUUUAGAUUGUGAAUCUGUGUCUUUGAACAUAGAUGCGCUAGCAUGUAUAUAAACCAUUACUUCUUAAUUCGAUGACAUUAAUAAAUAUAAUUGAUACGUCAUAUUUUGGCCUCGAAGACAUAUCAGGUCAGAAUCCAUACUAAGGCACUGCUUGACACGUCACAUCUUGGGAACCACAAGACACGCCAAGUCAGAAUCCAUACUAAGGCACUGCUCGGCAUGUCACGCCUCAGGAACCCCGAGACGGCGCCGCCCCCAAGACACGCCAAGUCAGAAUCUGUACUAAGGCACUGCUCGGCACGUCUACCAUGCCAAACCUCGUACGACUGACCCACGUACAAUAAUAUAAAGACCUCUGGCCGGCAUCUGGCUAGGAGGGGAAAAAAGGUGGUAAAAUCAAUUGAUCACUCUACUGACUUGUUCGUCAGAGGGUUCUCGUCGGGAAUCACCCAACGAGGGCCAUUUUUGAAGGAAAAUGCAGCCACCUCACGAAGACGAGCUACCAACCACCCGAGAAUCCCCAUCCAGUGCACGAAGGAGAGCAGCCAAUCGGUCCAUAUCCUAAACAAUGCCAACCAGUACUCCUUCUCGAGGGCUUGACCACCUCACGAAGAUGAGCUGCCAACCACCUCAGAAAAAGAGAGACGUAGCUCGACAUACACGACGCUCGGAUCGGCACACCAAGGAACACUGAUCAACACCCCAUUGCAAGGGCCCGAUAGACCUCGAUAUCCAACUCAACCGAUAGAAGACUCCCGACAUCGACCCGUAGACCAGGCUGUGCUAACUCACAAGCCACAGCACAUUUGUUUACUAACAUUUUGACGCUAGAAGGAGGGCAUGUCGCAAGAGCAACAGAUAGGGGUCCUCCCCGAGGGAGAACCACCGACCGACCUCCCUUUUGUUAAACCAAAAAGUCAGGCCUUCCCCACCCCCGGAGACAGGAGGAUCCCGGCUUCGAUGCUAGAUCGCUACUGUCGUCUGUUCAACGACCCGGGAUUGUCACCCCCGAGGCUCACCAUAGGGCCCUCGGUCGUGACACCCGAGGCAUUCCUUAGCCUAACCAAGCAAGUACAGGCCAUGGCGGGCAUGAUGUAGACGCUCGCUCCAAUCAUUCCUCAGAUCGUGCGGCUAGCGACGCCCCCGACCGACCCGUCCCAACAGCGACCGAACAGGGAGCAGGUCGGGACUGGAGAAGCCCAAGAGCAAGCAACGGACUCGAGAGGUCCGCCCGAGUAGAGCAUACUCGCACCCUGCCGAAUCACACCGCUCCACUCCGAGCCCGACACCAUAUCGUCCGACUCGGUGGAUGACUCGUUCAGGAUCCAGUUGUCUCGGAUCAACCAACGCUUGGAUGAGUUCCAGCGCGAGUUCCAGAAAUCGCGAUGCAAGUCGAAUGAAGGCGGCUCGGGCGAAUCGCCUUUCACUCAGGAAAUACAUGACAAGCCUGUACCACUCGACUUUAGGUUGCCCACAUUAGAGAUGUACGACGGCGGCUCUGACCCCGCAGAGCAUGUCGUCAUGUUUCGGGCUCAGCUAUGGCACCUCCAAUGCAUUGAUGUGUCGGGAAUUCCCGACCACCUUCAGGGGCCAGCACGAGCGUGAUUCAACCGGCUGCGCCAGUCCUCAGUCUCAUCCUUCGACCAGCUCACAAGGGAGUUCGAGCAAAACUUCCUCACCAACGUGCAACCCAAGCCUUCUAUCGCUACACUGCUGGCGUUAUCUCAACACGAGGAUGAGUCGCUCUCUCAGUUCGUGGCACAUUUAGCCACCGAGAUCUAUGAAUUUUCGGACGCUCAUCUCUCUCUAAUAAUGCAGGUGUUUCUGAUGGGCUUGAAACCUUCAAGGUUCUUUUGGUCACUAAUCGAGAAGCCUCCAGUAACCAUCCCCGAGAUGCUCCAAUGCGUCAACCAGUACAUCGCCGCCAAAGCUCUGGUGGUGGGAAAGUGCAUGGACAGCAAGAGGCCAAGGGCGAAACAAUCCCGGGGAACGACUUCCGUAGCCCCAGUGCAACCCCGCUAGAGGCUUGACUGACAAGAGCUACUGCUCCUGAGGCCCCCGCCUCUCCCUCUGAGCAUGUUCCACCAGGACUAUGACCACGGCACGGAAGAUUGCUGUGACCUCCAGAAUCAAAUCGAGGACUUGAUCCGAAAAGGUUAUCUCAAGUGCUAUGUCAAGGAAACCCGAGAAGCAACUCCAUGUCCUAGGGGACCCUUCGAAAGACGCCUCAUCAUCCAAAAUAUCAUGUCGAAAAGCCACUCGCGACAAGAGGUCCACAAGCUCGCCAGAUCGGUUCCCGACCUGCGACUCGCCGACCCAUCUCUUGCCUGAGCCGCUCUAGAUCGGUUCCCGACCUGUGCCUUGCCGGCCCAGCUUUUGCCCAAGUUGCUCCAGAUCAGUUCUCGACCUGCAGCUCGCCAGCCCAGCUCUUGCCCGAGUUGCUCUAUAUCGAUUCCCGACCCGCGGCUCGCCGGCCGAGCAUUUGUCCGAGCCGCUCCAGAUUGGUUCCCGACCUAUGGCUCACCGGCCCAGCUCUCAUUCGAGUCGCCCCAAAUCGGUUCCCGACCUGCAGCUCGCCGGCCCAGCUCUUGCCCGAGCCGCUCCAGAUCGGUUCCCGUCCUGCGGCCCGUUGGCCCAGCUCUUACCCAAGUCGCUCAAGAUUAGUUCUCGACCUCAGGCUCGCCGGCCUAGCUCUUGCCUGAGCCGCUCUAGAUCGAUUCUCGACCUGCGGCUCGCCGGCCUAGCUCUUGCCCAAGCGGCUCCAGAUCGGUUCUCGACCUGUGCCUCGCGGGCUCAGCUUUUGCCCGAGUCACUCCAGAUCGGUUCCCGACCUACGGCUCGUCGGCCCAACUCUCACCCGAGUAGCUCCAGAUCGGUUCUCGACUUGUGGCUCGCCAGCCCAACUCUUGCCCGAGCCACUCCAGAUCGGUUUCCGACCUGCGGCUCGUCGGCCCAACUCUUGCCCGAGUUGCUCUAGAUCGAUUCCCGACUUGCGGCUCUCUAGCCCAGCUCUUGCCCGAGCCAUCCAGAUCGAUUCCUGACCUGCGGGUAGCCAGCCCAGCUCUUGCCCAAGCGCUCUAGAUAAGUUCCUGACCUGUGCCUCGCUGGCCCAGUUCCUGCCCGGGUUGUUCCAGUUUGCUCCUGACUUUCGAUUCGGAGUCGAGCUUACUCACUUGGUCCCCAGAUUCAAUUCGGAGCCGAGCUUACUCACUCGGUCCCCAUAUCCGAUUCGGAGCCAAGCUUACUCACUCGGUCCCUAGGUUCAAUUCGGAGCCGAGUUUACUCACUCGGUCCCUAUGUUCAAUUCGGGGAGCCGAGCUUACUCACUUGGUCCCCAGAUUCAAUUCGGAGCCGAGCUUACUCACUCGGUCCCCAUAUUCGAUUCAAAUUCGAGCUUACUCACUUAGUCCCUAGGUUCAAUUUGGAGCCGAGCUUAGUCACUCGGUCCCUAGAUCCGAUUUAGAGCCGAGCUUACUCACUCGGUCUCCAGAUUCGAUUCGGAGUCGAGCUUACUCACUCGGUCCCCAGAUCCGAUUCAGAGCCGAGCUUACUCACUCAGUCCCCAGGUUCAAUUCGGAGCAGAGCUUAGUCACUCGGUCCCCAAGUUCAAUUCAGAGCUGAGCUUAUUCACUUGAUCCCCAGGUUCAAAUCGGAGAUAAGCUUAUUCACUCGGUCCCUAGGUUUGAUUCGGAGUCGAGCUUACUCACUCGGUCCCCAGGCUUAAUUCGGAGCCGGGCUUACUCACUCGGUCACCAGGUUCAGUUUGGAGCCGAGCUUAGUCACUCAAUCCCCAGGUUCAAUUCAGAGUCGAACUUAUUCACUCGAUCCCCAGGUUCAAAUCAGAGAUGAGCUUAGUCACUCAGUCCUCAGGUUCAUUUCUUGCUCGGGUCGCUCCAGAUCGCUCCCGACUUGCUACCCAUCGACACCGAAACCCGAGCCCGAGCUCGGUCACUCGACCCAUAGGCCCAAUCCAGUGUCCGAGCCACGCAUCUCAGCCAAUCCAACGCCCGAGUCGCAUCUCGGCCAAAUCCAAUGCCCGAGUCGCAUCUCGGCCAAAUCCAGCAUCCGAGCCACGCACCUCGGCCAUCCAACACCCGAGCCACGCAACUCGGCCAAUCUAACGCCCGAGUCGCAUCUUGGCCAAAUCCAAUGCCCGAGUCACAUCUCGGCCAAAUCCAACGUCCAAGCCACACACCUCGGCCAUCCAAAGCUCGAGCCACGCAUCUCGGCCAAUCCAAUGCCCAAGUCGUAUCUCGGCCAAUCCAAUACCCAAGUCGCAUCUCGACCAAAUCCAACGUCCAAGCCAUGCACAUUGCCCAUCCAAUGCCCGAGCCACGCAUCUCGACCGAUCCAACACCCGAGUAGCAUCUUGGCCGGUCCAAACGCCCGAACCACACAUCUUGGCCGAUCCAAUGCCCGAGCCAUACCUUGCGGCCAAUCUUAUGCCCGAGUCACAUCUCGAUCGAUCCAACGCCCGAAUCACCGGCCUAGUCUGUUAAUCCAAGUCGCUCCACGUCAACCCCUGACUAGCUACCCGUCAAGUCUCUAAACCGAGCCACCCCGGCUCGCUCGCCAACUUGCAAACUCGGCAGUUGUAACACCAAGUCGUGCCAAACCCGUUAUCUAACCUACGACACGUCGGUGUCGCCUCGUCGGUUUCGCCACGUCGGUUUCGACACGUUGGUUUUGCCUCGUCAGGCCCCUGCCUCCUGAUCAGUAGAGUCGAUCUUGCACGAAGCAUGGGGCGCUACCCUUCUAAAUCGCCCCAUGACGAGUUAAUCCAACUUCCCCUCAUGAACGAUCAGCCUCACUUCGAAGUAUCAUAUAAUAAUAUUUGGGCAUGGAAAGUUAUAAUGUCCUCCAUUGGGUUAGCAUUGCCAUCGAAUGCCUCCAACGACGAUGGUGGAAGAUUGUUAGAAUCGAUUCUUCCUGAAUUUUCUAGGUGAAUGAUGAUCGACUCGAGGUGGAGUCAACCAACGCUUCCUUUUUGGAUUAUUAAAUUUUUUAUCAUAUCUCCUCUAAAUGUCGGUCCAUCUAUGAUAGUUGGAUUCGCAAGGAAUCCUUCAUCAAUUUCGUCAACCUAGCCUCUGAUUUAAGCAUGAUAGAGUCAUGAUGUGGUAUGUUAAAUUUAUGGUGAUGGAGCGAAGUACUCUCUUGACCAUGAUUGGAUAGGUUUCGGGUACUCUUAGGAUGUCAACAUUAUGUUGGGUGGGGGAACAUUGAUUGGUGGGUGAGCUAUUGGGCUAACUAGCGUAAAUGUUAGAGAUUUUAAUAUAUAGAAUAUGCAUACUUGCAAGGCAUCUCAUGUAUGUCAAUUGUUGCAACCCCUUUUUUUUCUUAUUUAAGAUCCCUUCUGUUUUUUGAAUCAUAAUUAUAUUUUAACUGUUUUUUAAUAUUUAAUUCCUUCCAUCGAAAGAAAUGAACUUGAAUAACGAGAUGAUAUAAUAAAAGACACAAUAUCAACAAAAAUUUCUCAAGACCUACGUAAAGAAAAAAAAAUUCUUUGUAAAAAGAGAAAAAGCUAUAUUAAUUAGCAAAAACUAAAAAAAACGAAGAGCCGUUAGUAGCCUCCGAGGAAGAACAAAAAGUGGGUCAGCCUAUNNNNNNNNNNNNNNNNNNNNUCAACUAUGCUAAUGAUCAUGUUAGUGCGAUGGGUUCACUCUGUCAUUUGCCUACGCAUACAAUAUAUACUUUAGAAAACACAUAUAUAUUGAAAUUGUAUAGUUCGUCGUGAUUCUUUCUAAUCCCACACCAUGUGCCUUUACCGGAUGAUGAGAUGGGACAUUCCUUGGUAUCGCAGUAAAGUCAGAGGUCAUUCGUUAGAGGAUUUAUUAUAUUAAUUAUUGAGAGAUUAUAGAUUUUUUUUUAUCUUUAUUUUUUAUUUUUAAUUCAUUACUCAUAAUAAUCUUAUUAAAGAUAAAAAGAGAAGAGAAUGGGACUACAGUAGUGUUGUUGUGGGCGACAACUAUAGCAACAUCGAUACCACUAGGGUGAUUGUUGUAGCUUGUUGCGAUCGUAGCAUUACCGUUGCUUAGGGCAACUACAGCAAUGUCAUUGCGGUAUUUGUUGGCCACGGUCGAUGUCAACUAGACGUAAAAGACCAUGAUACUCAGCGGUUGCAUGACAAACUCGUAAGUAUUAGUGGGUGCCACAAUGACUAUGUGGUUGCUAGUUGAUACAAAAUCACGUAUGGCUGCGAUGACGAUGAGGUCGUUGAUUAGUCACAUGCGAAGAGCUAUGCACCGGUAACGAAUGACUAGUGCUCCAAGUGUGGGCAUAGUGGGAUGCGAUGACAACAUGAGAAUUUUUUUUUUUUUUAAGUAUAUUUUUAUCUUGAUAUAAGAAAAUUAUAUCUCCUAAGGGCUCUUCACUGAUUUAAUCACCUGAGGAGAAGCGCAAGUAAAAUUCUCCAGCAUCAUUAGAAUCCAUGAAGUAAUAACGAAUUACGGUCAGACCUAAACAAAAGAGGAAUCUCUGUGGCGUGCACCGGUGUGCAAAAAGUGGUGGUCUGGUCAGUGUUAGCCCGAUAGGUACGGCGGGUGUGGCGUGCACCGGCCUGUUAUCCUUCCACCGUCAAGAGCGGGAGGUUAUCGCUGCUCUGUGAAACCAGCCUGACGCGGUGUCCUCCGCUUUAGGAUCCCAGAUGGCUCGGGCCUUCGUUCGGGCCACAUAGCUCAGCUGCCUGACUUGGAACGGGCAAGCCAAGUCUAGCACGACCGCACCCAACCUAUUCGGGCUGAACACAACAUCCCACCACCUUAUUGCCCCCACUCGGGUUACAAGCCGGCGUUACCGGGCUCGGCGAUCGAGGCGCUUCCACAACUUCAUAUAGCCUGUCAGUGAAUCCUAACAAUCGGCGAUGUGGGACUAAGAGCGCUUCCCCUGCUCCCUCCUUUUUCCUUUCCGAACAUUCGUGCACCGCAUGCUUUCCAGGAGAAACCCGAAUUGCAUCUAAAGUUUCGAUCAUGGUUCCCCACCACCUAAAACCAUUCCAUCCCCUUCGAACAGACCAACAGAAGAUGCCCUGCAGACCCCUCCAGAUUGCCCCACUCCUAAUCCUGAAACCUCGAAACCCAAUGCUCUCCUGCAUGUUUCGAGCUAAAUUUCUCCUACAUCAGCUGACCGCAAUGCUGUAACUUUGGUGAUGAUGAAGAGGUGUAAGCUGAUAAACGCUAUACCAAUGCCCGAACACGUAGUCGGCCUCCUCGUUGGUGAAGAGGAUCGACUUUUAGAUUGUGAAUCUGUGUCUUUGAACAUAGAUGCGCUAGCAUGUAUAUAAACCAUUACUUCUUAAUUCGAUGACAUUAAUAAAUAUAAUUGAUACGUCAUAUUUUGGCCCCGAAGAUAUGCCAAGUCAAAAUUCAUACUAAGGCACUGCUCGACACGUCUACCAUGCCAACCCCCAACGACCGACUCACGUACAGUAAUAUAAAGACCUCUUGCCAGCAUCUGGCUAGGAGGGGAAAAAAGGUGACAAAAUCAAUUGAUCACUCUACUGACUUGUUCGUCAGAGGGGCCUCGUCGGGAAUCACCCGAUGAGGGCCAUUUUUGAAGGAAAACGCAGCCACCUCACGAAGACGAGCUACCAACCACCCGAGAAUCCCCAUCCAGUGCAUGAAGGAGAGCAGCCAAUCGGUCCAAAUCCCAACCAAUGCCAACCAGUACUCCUUCCCGAGGGCAUGACCACCUCACGAAGAUGAGCUGCCAACCACCCUAGAAAAAGAGAGACGUAGCUCGGCAUACACGACGCUCGGAUCGGCACACCAAUGAACGCUGAUCAACACCUCGUCGCAAGGGCCCGGUAGACAUUGGCAUCUAGCUCAAUCAACAGAAGACUCCCGACAUCGACCCGUAGACCAGGCUGUGCUAACUCACCAGCCACAGCACAUUUGUUCACUAACAUUUUGACGCUAGAAGGAGGGCAUGUCGCAGGAGCAACUGAUAGGGGUUCUCCCCGAGGGAGAACCACCGACCGGCCUCCCUUUUGUUGAACCAAAAAGUCAGGCCCUCCCCGCCCCCGGAGACAGGAGGAUCCUGGCUUCGACGCUAGAUCGCUACUAUUGUUUGUUCAAUGACCCGGGAUUGUCACCCCCGGGGCUCACCAUAGGGCCCUCGGUCGUGACACCCGAGGCAUUCCUUAGCCUAACCAAGCAAGUACAUGCCAUGGCGGGCAUGAUGCAGAUGCUCGCUCCAAUCAUUCCUCAGAUCGUGCGGCUAGCGACGCCCCCGACCGACCCAUCCCAACAGCGACCGAACAGGGAGCAGGUCGGGACCGGAGAAGCCCAAGAGCAAGCAACGUACCAGAGAGGUCUGCCCGAGUAGAGCAUACCAGCACCCUGCCGAAUCACACCGCUCCACUCCGGUCUUCUCGAAAACUGGCGAUUCAUGAAAAGGUUCGUCCCCUGGACUCCCGGGCAGACCAAAGGCUGCCCGGCCAACCGUGCCUCCCACAGCACAGCCUACAGUUCCGAUCAAAGUAGCUCCUCGGCCGCAACCGCCUGCGUCGUGCUCCUCGGCCCCAUGUUGCCCGAGACCACACUUGCGCGGCCUGCUCGCCCGAGUCCAGCUCCUCGACCGCAGCCGCCUACGUCGUGCUCCUCGGCCCCAUGCUGCCCGAGACCACACUCGCGCGGCUUGCCCGCCUACGUCGUGUUCCGCGGCCCCAUGCUGCCCGAGACCACACCUACGCGGCUUGCUCGCCCGAGUCUAGCUCCUCGGCCGCAGCCGCCUGCGUCGUGCUCCUCGGCCCCAUGCUGCCCGAAGACCACACCCUCGCGGCCUGCUCUCCUGAGCCCAGUAACCGCUCCUGCGCGGCCUGCCCGCAUGAGGGGCCUACCACCCCUACGGCCGAGCCCAACUUGACCUACGAGUCAUACUUCGGGGUUCCUCGGACCACUCACUACUCAGUGCCACCUCUGCACAUCCAACCCUCGUCAAUUGCCAAGCUCCACGAUUCCCACGCCCUUGGCGAUGAAUCGGUCUCCGCCCGACAGAGAUAGUUCCUUAAAACCGAAGCCAUGCCUCGGACCCCCCUUACGGCAACCGACGCAUAACUUCCUUUGGGAGGGGAGUAUGAUGAGUGUGAUAAUUAUGAUAAGACUUACGUGACAUCAGCUGACGCCCCACGUUUCUGUCGGGCUGACAGCACCUGGCAAACACGGGCCGAAACGGCAACCGAGGCCCAUUAACGACUGCUCAGGCUCUAUCCCUCAUGCCACGCCAACGGCGAUGUCAGACACCGUCAGAGGUACGAUCCUACUCCCUGCGGGCAGGCACAUUAGGUAACACUAAACGUCCCUAUAAAUACCCUCGCGUUCUAAACAAGAGGGGGGAGGGGGGGGGGACAACAGAUAAACACAAACAAACUUCCUGCGACCUUCAACUAACUUGAUCGUCGGAGGGGUCGGGUCAAGCACUCCGACCCGACCCGUGUGCAGGAACGAAGAUGAUGCGACUCUCACCGGACACACCAAGCGAGGAGCCCCUUCCCGGAGGAAACGACGACCCACCUCCACGACUGAACCGACCGAGCCAGCGACCUCAGCGGUCCCGAGGAACCCCCUAUGGAGAUCCCUGUCAUCCGGACCCGAAUCGAACCGCGUCGGCCCCGAGACCACGGCUUAAGGUUGUUUACACUAACACUUACUAUUUUUUAAUAUUUAAUUCCUUCCAACGAAAGAAAGGAACUUGAAUAACGGGAUGAUAUAAUAAAAGGCACAAUAUCAAGAAAAAUUUCUCAAGACUACAUAAAGAAAAAAAAUUCUUUGUAAAAAGAGAAAAAACUAUAUUAAUUAGCAAAAACUAAAAAAACGAAGAGCCGUCGGUAGCCUCCGAGGAAGAACAAAAAGUUGGACAGCCUACNNNNNNNNNNNNNNNNNNNNNNNNNNNNNNNNNNNNNNNNNNNNNNNNNNNNNNNNNNNNNNNNNNNNNNNNNNNNNNNNNNNNNNNNNNNNNNNNNNNNNNNNNNNNNNNNNNNNNNNNNNNNNNNNNNNNNNNNNNNNNNNNNNNNNNNNNNNNNNNNNNNNNNNNNNNNNNNNNNNNNNNNNNNNNNNNNNNNNNNNNNNNNNNNNNNNNNNNNNNNNNNNNNNNNNNNNNNNNNNNNNNNNNNNNNNNNNNNNNNNNNNNNNNNNNNNNNNNNNNNNNNNNNNNNNNNNNNNNNNNNNNNNNNNNNNNNNNNNNNNNNNNNNNNNNNNNNNNNNNNNNNNNNNNNNNNNNNNNNNNNNNNNNNNNNNNNNNNNNNNNNNNNNNNNNNNNNNNNNNNNNNNNNNNNNNNNNNNNNNNNNNNNNNNNNNNNNNNNNNNNNNNNNNNNNNNNNNNNNNNNNNNNNNNNNNNNNNNNNNNNNNNNNNNNNNNNNNNNNNNNNNNNNNNNNNNNNNNNNNNNNNNNNNNNNNNNNNNNNNNNNNNNNNNNNNNNNNNNNNNNNNNNNNNNNNNNNNNNNNNNNNNNNNNNNGCAAUGACAAAAUCAACGAUGCUAAUGAUCAUGUUAGUGCGAUGGGUUCACUCUGUCAUUUGCCUACGCAUACAAUAUAUACAUUAGAAAACACAUAUAUAUUGAAAUUGCAUAGUUCGUCGUGAUCCUUUCUAAUCCCACACCAUGGGCUUUUAGCGGAUGAUGAGAUGGGACAUACCUCGGUAUCUCAGUCAAGUCAUAGCUCAUUCGUUAGAGGAUUUAUUAUAAUAAUUAUUGAGAGAUUAUAGAUUUUCUUUUAUCUUGUUUUCAUUUUUAAUUCAUCACUCGUAGUAAUCUUAUGAAAGAUAAAAAGAAAAGAGAAUGAGAUUAGUAGUGUUGUUGUGGGCGACUACUAUAGCAACAUCGCUACCACUUGGAUGAUUGUUGUAGCUUGUUGCGAUUGUAGCAUUACCGUUGCUUAGGGCAACUAUAGCAAUGUCGUUGCGGCAUUUGUUGGCCACGGUCGAUGUCAACUAUACGUAAAAGACCAUGAUACUCAGUGGUUGCAUGACAAACUCGUAAGCACUAGUGGGUGCCACGAUGACUAUGUGGUUGCUAGUUGGUACAAAAUCACGUGUGGCUACGAUGACGAUGAGGUCGUUGAUAAGUCGCAUGCGAAGAGCUAUGCAACCACGAGCGACGAAUGACCAGUGCACCAUCAACGAGGCAUCCAAGUAUGGGCAUAGUGGGAUGCGAUGACAACAUGAGAAUUUGAUUUUUUUUUUAAGCAUAUUCAACGACAUUUGUUGGUCACGGUCGAUAUCAACUAGACGUAAAAGAUCAUGAUACUCAGCGGAUGCAUGACAAACUCGUAAGCAUUAGUGGGUGUCACGAUGACUAUGUGGUUGCUAGUUGGUACAAAAUCACGUGUGGCUACGAUGAUGAUGAGGUCGUUGAUAAGUCGCAUGCGAAGAGCUAUGCAACCACGAGGGACGCAAGCGACGAAUGACCAGUGCACCAUCAACGAGGCAUCCAAGUGUGGGCAUAGUGGGAUGCGAUGAUAAUUUGAUUUUCUUUAAAGCAUAUUUUUAUGCCUCGAACGCAUCUUGAUAUAAGAAAAUUAUAUCUCCUAAGGGCUCUUCACUGAUUUAAUCACGUGAGGAGAAGCGCAAGUAAAAUUCUCCAGCAUCAUUAGAAUUCAUGAAGUGAUAUAUAAUACGAAUUACGGCCAGACCUAAACAAAAGAGGAAUCUCUCGAGUGUGGCGUGCACCGGUGUGCAAAAAGUGGUGGUUUGGUCAGUGUUAGCCCGAUAGGUACGGCGAGUGUGGCGUGCACCGGCCUGUUAUCCUUCCACCGUCAAGAGCGGGAGGUUAUCGCUGCUCUGUGAAACCAGCCUGACGCGGUGUCCUCCGCUUUAGGAUCCCAGAUGGCUCGGGCCUUCGUUCGGGCCACAUAGCUCAGCUGCCUGACUUGGAACGGGCAAGCCAAGUCUAGCACGACCGCACCCAACCUAUUCGGGCUGAACACAACAUCCCACCACCUUAUUGCCCCCACUCGGGUUACAAGCCGGCGUUACCGGGCUCGGCGA
rnacentral:lncRNA from 1 species